rnacentral:rRNA from 1 species
GACGAACGCUGGCGGCGUGCUUAACACAUGCAAGUCGAGCGGAAAGGCCCUUCGGGGUACUCGAGCGGCGAAAGGGUGAGUAACACGUGAGUAACCUGCCCCAGACUUUGGGAUAACCCUCGGAAACGGGGGCUAAUACAGGAUACGACACAGCUUCGCAUGGGGUCUGUGUGGAAAGUUUUUCGGUUUGGGAUGGGCUCGCGGCCUAUCAGCUGGUUGGUGGGGUGAUGGCGUACCAAGGCGACGACGGGUAGCCGGCCUGAGAGGGGGACCGGCCACACGGGGACUGGGACACGGCCCGGACUCCUACGGGAGGCAGCGGUGGGGAAUAUUGCACAAUGGGCGGAAGCCGGAUGCAGCGACGCCGCGUGGGGGAUGACGGCCUUCGGGUUGUAAACCUCUUUCAGCGGGGACGAAGCGGAAGUGACGGUACCUGCAGAAGAAGCGCCGGCCAACUACGUG